CCAAUAGCGUAUAUUAAAGUUGUUGCAGUUAAAAAGCUCGUAGUUGAAUUUCGGGAUUGACACAUCGGUCGUGCCUUAAGGGGUAUGAACUGGUGUAGUCAAUUUCUCACCUUCUGGAGAACCGCGAUGCCCUUAAUUGGGUGUCGCGGGGAACCAGGACCUUUACUUUGAACAAAUUAGAGUGUUUAAAGCAGGCAUUUUGCUUGAAUACAUUAGCAUGGAAUAAUAAAAUAGGACGGCAUGAUUCUAUUUUGUUGGUUUCUAGGAUCACCGUAAUGAUUAAUAGGGAUAGUUGGGGGCAUUAGUAUUCAAUUGUCAGAGGUGAAAUUCUUGGAUUUAUUGAAGACUAACUACUGCGAAAGCAUUUGCCAAGGAUGUUUUCAUUAAUCAAGAGCGAAAGUUAGGGGAUCGAAGACGAUCAGAUACCGUCGUAGUCUUAACCAUAAACUAUGCCGACUAGGAAUCAGACGAUGUUAAUUUUUUAAUGACUCGUUUGGCACCUUACG
rnacentral:rRNA from 1 species